GAUGAACGCUAGCUACAGGCUUAACACAUGCAAGUCGAGGGGUCUUUUGGAGCUUGCUUUGAAAGACGACCGGCGCACGGGUGAGUAACGCGUAUCCAACCUGCCCUUCAUAUUGGGAUAGCCUUCCGAAAGGAAGAUUAAUACCGAAUAACAUGAGAGAGUUGCCUGAUUUUCUCAUGAAAGCUCCGGCGAUGAAGGAUGGGGAUGCGUUCCAUUAGGUAGUAGGCGGGGUAACGGCCCACCUAGCCAACGAUGGAUAGGGGUUCUGAGAGGAAGGUCCCCCACACUGGAACUGAGACACGGUCCAGACUCCUACGGGAGGCAGCAGUGAGGAAUAUUGGUCAAUGGGCGCAAGCCUGAACCAGCCAUGCCGCGUGAAGGUCACGGCCCUAUGGGUCUUAAACUUCUUUUGUAAGGGAGCAAUAAGUCUCACGUGUGGGAUGAUGAGAGUACCUUACGAAUAAGCAUCGGCUAACUCCGUG
rnacentral:rRNA from 1 species